UACAGAGGUCUCGAGCGUUGUUCGGAUUCAUUGGGCGUAAAGGGCGCGUAGGCGGCGGGGUAAGUCUGGUGUGAAAUCUCGGAGCUCAACUCCGAAAUUGCACUGGAUACUGCUCUGCUAGAGGGCUGGAGAGGAGAUCGGAAUUCACGGUGUAGCAGUGAAAUGCGUAGAUAUCGUGAGGAAGACCAGUGGCGAAGGCGGAUCUCUGGACAGCUCCUGACGCUGAGAAGCGAAAGCGUGGGGAGCGAACAGG
rnacentral:rRNA from 1 species